GAUGAACGCUGGCGGCGUGCCUAAUACAUGCAAGUCGAGCGAACAGACGAGGAGCUUGCUCCUCUGACGUUAGCGGCGGACGGGUGAGUAACACGUGGAUAACCUACCUAUAAGACUGGGAUAACUUCGGGAAACCGGAGCUAAUACCGGAUAAUAUUUUGAACCGCAUGGUUCAAUAGUGAAAGACGGUUUUGCUGUCACUUAUAGCUGGAUCCGCGCUGCAUUAGCUAGUUGGUAAGGUAACGGCUUACCAAGGCGACGAUGCGUAGCCGACCUGAGAGGGUGAUCGGCCACACUGGAACUGAGACACGGUCCAGACUCCUACGGGAGGCAGCAGUAGGGAAUCUUCCGCAAUGGGCGAAAGCCUGACGGAGCAACGCCGCGUGAGUGAUGAAGGUCUUCGGAGCGUAAAACUCUGUUAUUAGGGAAGAACAGAUGUGUAAGUAACUGUGCACGUCUUGACGGUACCUAAUCAGAAAGCCACGGCUAACUACGUG
rnacentral:rRNA from 1 species